rnacentral:tRNA from 1 species
GUCCUGCUGGCCCAAUGGCCAAGGCGCCACCCUCCUAGAGUGGAACUAGCGAGUUCGAUGCUCGGGUAGGGUG